GGGAAAAUUGGAAAAAUAGGACAUUCUCAACUUAGAUUUGUCUCAAUGGGAUUUUUAGAAGAUUAUUUAGGAAAAUAGGAUUUUAACUCUUGUAAAUACCAUAAUACCCUUAAAAUAAACCAAUUAAUAUGAAUUAUAAUUAUAACAAUGAUUUUUCGUAAUUGAUUAGUAUUAAAAAUAAAAAAAGGAAAAAAAAGAUACGGUCGAGGUAAAACCCGUAAAGUUGCCCUAAUUUUUUUUAAUCUUCUUUUCUCUGCCGUAGCUCUUGACUUCAUUCAUGGCGAUUUAGGGUUCUUGGAAAAUCAUUGUUCUUCAUCGAUGUUUCGUCAGAUGGUUAGUCUUUAAUCUCGUUUUCGUCAUCCUCCUCUUCGUUCUCACAUACGAAAAAACGAAAUCGUACGAGUUUCGACGGUUCAUUACGAAAUAAAAGUGUUCUUAGAUUAAUAAGUUCUUGAGUUAAGACACUUAAUAGUUUUAAGUGUGUUUGAAUCUUGAAUUAUAAUCAUCGCAGGAGCCGAGAGUUCCUCUGGCAAGGACACACUGUUCACGCCACAAAAGAAGACGCAGAUAAAGAGGUUCUUGAGGCUUUGGACCAUUACCGUCACAUUUAUGAAGAGUAUUUUGCAGUCCCAGUUGUAAAAGGUAUGAAGAGUGAGAAGAAGUUUGCAGGUGCACGUUAUACCACAAGCGUUGAGGCUUUCAUACCAGAAACUGGUCGUGGUAUACAAGGUGCAAAGAUGUUUGACAUCACAUUCACAAAUAAAGAAGGAAAAAGUAAAAGGUGUGGCGAAUUCUUGGGCUUAUAGUGCCAUAACGAUUGGAGUGAUGAUAUUGACUUAUGGAGAUGACAAAGGAUUGGUGAAUCCCCCUAACGUUGCACCAAUCCAAGUCAGACUCAGUGAGGAAGGAAAUGGUCUUGAUGUCUGUGAUAGCUAACCAAGAUUGAGCUUAACCGAAGUCUGUGAUAGCUUUGAUCCAAGGGUCUUGAUGUGAUCAAGCAAGCUCAAUCUGGAACACAAAGACAGCUAUGAAAUUUAAAUCCGGCGUUUUGCAACAGCUUGAUUACACUCUUGUUCAGUCCCAAGCUUUUGUUUUUACUCCUACCAUGUAGUGUUAGCUCAUUGCAGUUCACUUUUUUUUUUUCCAUAGCAUAUUGUUUAAGUUGUUUGCAUGAAGUUGAUCUUGAAUGUUUGUCUUGCUUUUCUUGUUGGCAUGAAGUUGUUUGACGUCUUCACACAAUACAUAAAUUUCAUAAAUAAUACGAUACAUGGCAUACAUUAUA